rnacentral:rRNA from 1 species
GACAGUCUCAGUUCAGAUUNUAGGCUGAAACUCGCCUAUAUGAAGUCGGAAUUGCUAGUAAUCGCAGAUCAGCAUGCUGCGGUGAAUACGUUCCCGGGCCUUGUACACACCGCCCGUCACACCAUGAGAGUCGAUAACACCCGAAGCCUGUAGUCUAACCAUAAGGAGGACGCAGUCGAAGGUGGGAUUGAUAAUUAGGGUGAAGUCGUAACAAGGUACC